rnacentral:rRNA from 1 species
UACGAAGGGGGCUAGCGUUGCUCGGAUUGACUGGGCGUAAAGCGCGCGCAGGCGGUCAGAGGCGUCGGUGCUCAAAGUCCACCGCUUAACGGUGGGAGGCGUGCCGAUACGCUCUGACUGGAGGGCGGGCGAGGGUGGUGGAAUUGCCGGUGUAGUGGUGAAAUGCGUAGAGAUCGGCAGGAACACCAGUGGCGAAGGCGGCCACCUAGCCCGCACCUGACGCUGAGGCGCGACAGCGUGGGGAGCGAACUGG